GGGUUCGGAAGGUGAUCACUUAGGAUCUCUUCCGGAGGGUAUUACGUCGAUGGUGGGGCCGCUAUCG
rnacentral:ncRNA from 1 species